rnacentral:snRNA from 1 species
AGUUUUGCACAGUGGCAGCAUGGUGGCCAAUGAUGUUUAUCUGAGGCGCCAUUAUUGCAAAUUGAAACA